UCUUAUGGAUGAGCAAAGAAAGUGGCUUCUUGAAAUGGAAUCUAGUCCUGUGAGGAUGCUGGGAA
rnacentral:pre_miRNA from 1 species